UAUCAAUUAGUUUAUUUAAAAUAUAGAUUUUGGUGAUCUAAGUAAUUAAUUUUAAUAUUGGUAG
rnacentral:tRNA from 1 species